CAGUAGUCAUAUGCUAGUCUCAUAGAUUAAAGCCAUGCAUCUGUAAGUAUAAACUUUUUUUUACUGUGAAAGUGAGAAUGGGUAAUUAACUCAGAUUUAGUUUUGUGAUGGUACCGUGAUACUGGGAUAACUGUAGUAAUUGUAGAGUAAUACUAGCACAAACUCAAGUCUGGCCCCACCCCACCCCGUGGGGGGUGUGUUUUUGAAGGGAAGUAUUUUUUUGAUAAAAGAAAGAUGCGGGGUGGCCCGGUGCGGCGGUGAGUCAUGAUAACAUAUCGAAUCGCACGCCCCUCCCUUUUGGGGAUGUUUCAUUCAAAUUUCUGCCUUAUCAACUUUCUUUGGUAGGAUGGAUAGAGGCCAUCCAUGGUGGUAACGGGGGACGGAGAAUUUGGGUUUGAUUCCGGAGAGCGUGCCGGAGAAA
rnacentral:rRNA from 1 species